AAAAAAAAAAAAAAGCUAAAAAAAGCCUAAACAGCAGGUAAGUUCCCUGCAUUUGCAAGCACACAGCUAUUUGUUGAGAAGCUCUCAGGCCUCUUGCUUUCAACUUCACUAGCUCCAAACAGCUCUUCAAAGGUCCAAAAUUUUUUUUUUCUUUUUUUUUUUUUUUUCCCAGAUGCCAGCCUGAAGCUAUACUGCAAUAGUUCGCAGAGACUUCACUACUCUGCUUUUGGGGAUGCAGCUAAAAUAAGAUACAGCUAAAAUAAGCGGCAGUGCCAGAGUGCAGACUGAAGAACGAUACCACUUCCUUUAUCGAAUGAGUCAACACACAACCAUUACAGGUUUGUUUGUUUGUUUCUCCACACUGCACAUCUUGAAAGACUAGCUGACAUCUCCACUAUUAAGGGCUCACCCACUUGCCAAGUUGUAAAGAAAGCCACUAAGAAAGCAAUAUAAAUCAUAACUGGAUGUUGAAACACAAAAUUGAAGGCAGGACCAUGGAAGCAGAGUAUCUGGGACAGCAGAAGGGAACUUGAAUGACACGCAGCCAUUUUUCAGUCCCCAAACUGUCAACGUGGCAAGUAUUGCAUUUCAUUUUAAACAAGAAGCGCUAUCUCCUUGACUCUCGGGAAUGACACAAUUAUUUACCUUAAUACUUUCACUUUUAAGGCAACUGUUCUUUAGAUGAAAAAUUGUGCUUGGAUGUGGACUAUGCAGGAGUAAAUAACAGCAGACAGAAAAAAUAUUAAAAGAUUUCUCCUAAAAAAUCAAACCAUUUCUGGAAGCAGGUGUUUUUGGCUUUUUGGUUUUACUUUUUCGUUGUAUUUGAUCUGUUUGAUAGCUUUUACAUAAGGCACAUAAAACAGGCAACAGCAAAACCACCGGUGUCUGUAUGUAGGCAGCUUUCCACUACCAGUUCACAAGCACUGUACAUUGCAGGCAGUUUUUUAGUGUGAAUUAAGCACUAACAGAGUAAGUAACUUGGGAAGAGAUUGCAAGCUAGAGAGGGAAAAAGUCUUCAGUCACUCUUAAAAUGUAAACUGUCAAAAUCCAGCACCGCAUGAGCGCAGAGCUCACGAGUACUAAUGCAUUAGUUUUUCCAGAAAGAGUUAAAAGAUAGAUAAAGUAUUGAGAUAAAACAUUUCUGUGUUUAUUGAAUAAAAAAGCAAGAGCCGAUUUACA
rnacentral:lncRNA from 1 species